UGGCAACCAACGUUCCUUUUCCCGCGCAACGAAUUUCCUACGCCUCUAUGCCUGCGCCAGUCGGCCGGUUUCGUUUAACCUGUGUUUUGGUCGAUCAACUGAUUGACGUUAAUUUAAAAUUUUGGUUCAAAAAGUUAAAGAGGGUGUUUUUUGCGUUUAGUGUUUGUGUUUUUUUACUUGUUUUGAUUUGUUAGGUUAAGUUGUUUGUGUCAAAAAACGUUUCAUAUGGACCCCACGGAAGACAUUACGAAUAAAAUUCAUAAUUACGCAAGAACCUCUUCAACCCUGUGCAAUAUGACUGUUGUUGACGACAUCGUGUCACAGAAAAUGAUUGCCAAUGCGUAUUCAUUUUUCAAGAAGGAAAAGUUUAAUUUAAGAUGCCCUACAGAUGUUGUUACUUCAAUAUAAAGUACGCAAUGUUAUUCGAAGUGUAUGUUCCAGUAUAGAUAAUAUUGUC